GAUUAACGCUGGCGGCAUGCCUAAUACAUGCAAGUCGGACGAGGGUAGCAAUACCCUAGUGGCGAACGGGUGAGUAACACGUGGGAAAUCUGCCUUUAAGUCGAGGAUAACUGCUGGAAACGGCAGCUAAAACUGGAUAGGUUAUAUUGGGGCAUCCUGAUAUAAUUAAAAGUCCUUUACGGGAAUGCUUAAAGAUGAUCCUGCGUCGCAUUAGCUAGUUGGUGAGGUAGCGGCUCACCAUGGCUACGAUGUUUAGGGGAACUGAGAGGUUGACCCCCCAACUGGAACUGAGACACGGACCAGACUCCUACGGGAGGCAGCAGUGAGGAAUAUUGGUCAAUGGGCGAGAGCCUGAACCGCCAAGUCGCGUGAAGGAAGAAGGAUCUAUGGUUCGUAAACUUCUUUUGCAGGGGAAUAAAGUGCAGGACGUGUCCUGUUUUGUAUGUACCCUGAGAAUAAGGAUCGGCUAACUCCGUGCCAGCAGCCGCGGUAAGCUAGUCUACG
rnacentral:rRNA from 1 species